UCCGUCGUCAACCCCGAUCGCAAAUGCGGCCGGUGUGGGCGCUUUGUUGGACCUCCUUUUGUCCUGGCUGGGCUCCGCCAGCUAGGGCCCUAUCUUCUGGCGCUCAAAAAUAUCCAAAUUAUUUUUGCACAAUUAUUUGAAGUAUUUCUUCAGAGAAGAAGAAGAGUUGUAAGGAUGUGUUCUGUCGUUUAUUUUAAUUUUCAAUUUAGGAAGCGAGAUGGGAAGGAAGAGGAAAUGUAACAAUGUGUAAUUUUUUUUGUAGUUUCUGGAGUGACCUCUCCGAUACAUCUGCUACAAGGUUUAAAAUAUUAAAUGCUUGAAGAUAUAAUUUGAUAAAAAAUGUAUUUCAAGAAAAAUCAAUACAUAGUCGUUUUAAAACAAGCACUUAAUAAUCUUGACAUCUCUGAU